CGGGAGUAGUUGGGGUAAUUAAUUGGAAAGAACCAAAAAACACAGUGUUAUCUCCUUCCCCAUCUAUCAAAGUCUUUCCCUGAGUUUUCUCUUCUCUGUUCAAUUCUCUUGUGUUCACAAGAAUCACAACCCUUUCCAUCUCAAUCAUGGUUUCCCCAACAUUGUCCGGCCUUGCUGGAUCUCUUCUUUCACCCUUGAGUAAAGUCAGUUUGGAGAAACUGAUAGGUUUUCUAUGGAAUUAUCUAUCAUCAUCACCAUCACCAUCUUCCCCUGAUGAAGCAGAGAAACAACAACUGAAGGAUUCACUGGAAGCCUUGGAAAAUGCCAAGUUGAAUGUUGAGUUGAUGCAAGGUAGAAUCAUGAAAUUGUUCCAAAAACAUAAGCAAAACAAGAGGGUGGUGCGUUUGCACAACAAGCUCAAAGAUGUUGGUUAUGACAUACAAGACUUGGAAUCAGAGAUGAAGUACAUGGAGCUGGAGAGAAAGGUGCAGGCGAUCAACAAGGCUGAAGAAGAAGAAGAAGAAGAAGGUGACAGUAGUACUAGUAGCCAAUUCAGUACUGGAAAGCGCUCGUUUCCAUUUCGUCUACCAACUGUUUUCUUAUCUAAGAAAAAACGUCGUCUUCCAGCGUCAUCGCAAUCCUCAAGUCUGUCAACAGAUGAAGACAUUGUGAGACAGGUUACUAGUAUUCUAAAACAAAUAAAAAGCAUUGAAUCAAAGUUGAAAGAUGAAACCACUUUGGAAGAUUUGUUUGACAAGCUCAUAAUGAAUGAAGUUUAUGAUCCACGGGAAUAUCCCUCCACACAAAACGAACGUGUCACCACGUCAUCAACGAACGAAAGGAAGAUAUAUGGCCGAAAUGAUGAAAUACAACAGUUGAUUGAGUUUCUCACAGAGCCAAAUGUCAACAAUAGUAGUAAUGUUUCUGUUGUUCCAAUAGUUGGGAUGGGUGGUAUCGGCAAGACUACUUUGGCUCAGUUUGUCUUCAACAACAGACAAAUAGAAAAUCAUUUUGACAAAAAAACGUGGAUAUAUGUAUCAAAUCACUUUGAUAGAUGCAGAAUCACCAAAGAAAUGCUACAUGUCAUCAACCCGAAUGUUCAACAUUGCAGCACCUCCAAUUUGGAUUUUCUUGAGAGAGAACUCCAAAGGCAUUUGACAGGGAAGAAAUUUUUAUUGGUGCUGGAUGAUAUUUGGUCUGAUGAGUGGCAAUGGCUCAUUGCCCCUCUCCAAUCUUCACAAGCACAUGUCAUUAAAAUCAUUCUGACUUGUAGGGAUCCUAUGGUGUUAAGAAGCAUAGAUGAAAGAAAUAAAAUUAUUUUGAAAGGUAUAGAUCAUCAAGAGUACUGGUCACUUUUUUUGAAUUGUGCCUUUGCCGAAAACAAUUCUGACAAUUAUUCACAGAAACUACAUGACAUAGGAAGACGCAUAGUGAAAAAGUUGAUGGGGUCACCAUUAGCAGCAAAGACAGUGGGAAAGCUUCUAGGGCGUGAUCUAACUGAGAAGCAUUGGAAUGAUGUAUUGGAAAAUGAUUUGUGGAAAUUAAAAACCGAUGCACAUGAUAUUAUGCCUGCACUUGCAUUGAGUUACUAUCAUCUACCUCCAUGUCUUCAGCCAUGCUUUGCUUUUUGUUCGUUGAUGCAUGAUCAUGUCUAUCAAAUGGAGGAAUUGAUUUACAUGUGGAUAGCCAAUGGGUAUAUACAUGAAAGCGGAAGUAAUUCAAAGACAAUGCAUGAUAUAGGAGAAGAGUAUUGUCAUGAACUGCUGGCAAUGGGUUUCUUUGAUAAAGCUAAUUCUACAAAUUUCAAAAUGCAUGACUUAAUGCAUGAUUUAGCCCAACUUGUUUCUCAUGGGGAGAUUUGUAUUUAUAAGAGUGGGAAAGAUGAAAAACUCUUAAAAAAUGCCCGUCAUGUAUAUGUACAAGGCUCGAUUGACCCUGGGUUGGUAUGUGAAACUAAUAACUUGCGCACAUUUGUGUUAAGGAGGGUUGAUGCCAUGUUUGUCCACUUCAACCAUGAGGCAUUCAAAAGAGUCCGAGUGUUAGUAAUCUUUGAUAGUAAAAUGAAAGAAUUCCCGGAUGCUAUUUGUCAUCUAAAACACUUGCAAUAUUUGGAUUUGGUGGAAACCCGCAUCAAAUCGAUACCGGAAUCACUAUGUGGGCUUUAUCAGUUGAGAGUGUUGAAAUUGCCGUGGUAUCUACUGACCUUACCAAGUCAAGUACAUAGCCUCAUCAAUCUUGAAAUAUUGUACACAGAUAAUCCAAAAAAUGGCUUGAUGUGCAUGCAAUUGAGGAAUUUGAAUAAACUAAGAGGACGAAGGCUUUCAAUUGUAGCCCUGGAGAUUAUCCACAAUAAGAAAGAAGCAACAAAAGCCAAAUUGAAUGAAAGACGUCAUAUCAAGCAGUAGAAAUUAUGUUGGAAUAUUGAUAAGGUGGAUCGUUGCAAGCAUGUUGUCCAAGAAGAAGUACUUGAAGGCCUUCAACCUCAUCCUAAUUUAGAACAAUUAAAUAUUGAAGGGUACUUGGGUUCCAAAACGCCAAGUUGGCUUAUGACACUUGCAUUACAGAAACUACAAGAAUUAUAUUUAUCUAAAUGCAAAAACUGGGCAUGCCUACCUGCAGCACUUGGGUUGUUACCCUGCCUCAAGGUACUACAUUUAGAAGAUAUUGGGAACACAACAAUUGAGUGUGAUGAUUCUGUGACUGAGAUGUUUUCAUCGCUGGAGAAGCUUGAAUUGCACAGAGCAACAAUAUCAUUUAAAAGCAUGUCAUCAUCAUCAUCAUCAUCAUCAUCAUCAUCAUCAUCUAGAUCUCUGACAACACCAGGGCAUAGCAAGUUGUUUCCUCGUCUUCAAGAACUCAUUGUGAAGGAAUGUGAUGAGCUGAAUGGAUUACUCUUGCCCAAGCUUUCAACACUUAAGAUACUCACUUUACAACCAAGUCGUGGGCUCCAAAGUCAAGUGCCAAGAUGCCUCCAAAACUUGACCUCGCUUACUUCAAUUACUUUAUGGUUUAUAAAAGGGUUCAAGACUGAAACCACCACUGAAAUUGGGGCAAAACAGCAGCAGGUAGGUCAGGUCCUACCAAAUCUGAAAUAUAUUAAGAUAGAAUGCUGUGAAGAUAUGUCAUUUAUGCGGGAUUUGUUGCUUCGUGUUCCUUCACUGGAGAGCUUGAGUCUUUCCAAAUGUAGUCCAGUAAGUCUUCCGGCAGUUGGACACUUGUCCUUCCUUAGAUACAUUGUAUUAGAAGAGGUGGAGCUAAUAUUAGAGGAUUCAGCUCCCGUGUUUCCAUCUCUAGAAAGUCUGGUUAUAUUGAAGAAAUCAACAAUUAUUUUCCAGAACGUGCCAUCAUCGGUAACAACACAAAUUCACAACUGCUUUCCCUUUCUUGAUUUGCUCUAUAUUAUGGAGUGUGAUGAACUAGUGAAUGGAUUACAUUGGCCCAUAUCUUCCCAAUUGCCCCGAUGCCUCUAUGGCCUCUCUUCUCUUACUACAUUGUUUUUGAUUAACACAAAGAUUAAAAAUUUUCCUACAGAGGUGAUGGCCACACUGCAUGCACUAUACUCGUUAUGUCUUGAAGAUUGUAAUGAGCUUUCAUCAGUGGAGGGUUUACAAGCCCUUCCCUCCUUGAGAUAUUUGGAAAUUUCUAAAUGCCCCAAAUUCGAAUCAUGGCGUAUGGAGGAGAUGCCAAAGCUGGAGACUAUGCAUAUUCGGUAUUGCCCAGAUCUGGCGUCUUUGCCUGCUUGGUUGCAUCGUCUUCCUUCACUGAAGAAAUUGAGAAUUGACAAAUGCCCAAAGUUCGAUUCACUACCGGAGGGUGGCCUCCCUUCUUCACUUGAAACAUUGGAAAUCAUAGAAUGUGACCCAGGCUUAAUGGAACGUUGCCAACAAGAGCAGUCUCCAGAAUGGCAAAUGAUUCAGCACAUCCCUAAACGAAAAUAUAUUAUCUGAAUUUAUCUAAGCGGAAAACAAUCAAGCUGUUUUUUUCUAUCAACCUUUGCUCAAUCUUUGGAUGUUGGAACCUCUUCAGAUUAAUUGUGACUAGCUACUUAUCUCAGCAGUAUCCUCUCACAAACAAACUUCUCUAUUACUAUGACGGUGAUACUACUUCAUUUUGAGAAUAACCAUCUCCAGAGCAAGGGCAAGCAAUAAUUCCAAGGUUUCUAUGACAAGAGCUCAGUUCCAGGCUUUCUUUAACAUGCUACUCAGACUUGAAUUAAUAGCAUUAGUUAUCUGUCACUCUUGAUAGAUUGGAGGCAAAUGUUAUUGCACACCACUCAGCUGGUGCAUUCAAGAUUUCAUAACACAAACUGAAACCUUGUCUUUCUAGUUCUCCAUGAAUUUGAGUUAUGGACCUUUUGCCUAUGCAGCAUUGGGAGAAGCCAGAGUUCCCUUUUUCAUGUUAUUCCUAAGCUUGCUUCCCUUAAAGUUGCUGGGGAACAAUUAAGGGUUAUGGUUAUCCAGGGCUAUCUCUCACAGGAAGUGCUAUUGCUAUUGCAGAAAUGGCACGAGUUGGUGUAAGCUGUUCAACAUUCAUUUUGUUUCAUUCUUCUUUAGCAAUGCUUACAAUUGGUCUUUGUAGGUCAGAGGAACAAAAGCAGAAAUAUCUACCAUCAUUAGCAGAACUACCAACUGUGGCUUGUUGGAGCUUGACAGAACCAGACUAUGGAAGUGAUGCUAGCUAUUUGAGAACCACUGCAACAAAGGUUUCAAAUGCCAACUCCAAUACUUAUAUUCUCAAAUUUCUAAAGAGCUCGCCUAGUGGUAGCAAGGUAUGUGGAGGUUGGAUACUAGAUGGAGAAAAGCAUUGGAUUGGGAACAAUACUUUUGCAGAUGUGUUUGUUAUUUUUGCUCGCAAUACUGAAACAAAUCAGAUAAAUGGAUUUCUAGUGAAGAAAGGCGCCUCUUGCUUGAGGGCUACCAAAAUUGAAAACAAGAUUUGGUUUAAGGACAUGUGUGAAUUCAUUUUAGGACACAAAUGGCAGGGCUAUUUCAUAGUGCUA